AACGAACGCUGGCGGCAGGCCUAACACAUGCAAGUCGAGCGCCCUCUUCGGAGGGAGCGGCGGACGGGUUAGUAACGCGUGGGAACGUGCCCAGAUCUAAGGAAUAGCCACUGGAAACGGUGAGUAAUACCUUAUACGCCCUUCGGGGAAAGAUUUAUCGGAUUUGGAUCGGCCCGCGUUAGAUUAGAUAGUUGGUGGGGUAAUGGCCUACCAAGUCUACGAUCUAUAGCUGGUUUUAGAGGAUGAUCAGCAACACUGGGACUGAGACACGGCCCAGACUCUACGGGAGGCAGCAGUGGGGAAUCUUGGACAAGGCAAGCCUGAUCCAGCCAUGCCGCGUGAGUGAUGAAGGCCCUAGGGUCUAAAGCUCUUCGCCUGUGAAGAUAAUGACGGUAGCAGGU
rnacentral:rRNA from 1 species